GGUGCAGGGGGCGUUGAGUAUGAAAGUUGGAGUAAAUACCGAGAGUUUUAUAGCACCCCUGAAACUGAUAGAGAUUAUCUGCUGUACUGGGAAACGAUUGUGAAGGAUCUUAAGUGGAUUGAAGAACAUGUGCUUAAAGGCUAUAUGGAGUGGCAUGAAUUGCGUGCAAAAGCUUGGCGCCAAGCAGUUAGGAUUGCUACUAGGUUCGAAAACAUUCCUCUGAGCCUAGCAUAUUAUGGUUUCCGGGUAUAGUUCAUCUGUCCCUUGC